UUCUAGAGCUAAUACAUGCGAAAAAACCCGACUUCUCGGAAGGGUUGUAUUUAUUAGAUAAAGAACCAAUAUUUUUGGUGACUCAUAAUAACUUUACGGAUCACAUUAUGUGACAUAUCAUUCAAGUUUCUGACCUAUCAGCUUUAGACGGUAGGGUAUUGGCCUACCGUGGCUAUGACGGGUAACGGGGAAUUAGGGUUCGAUUCCGGAGAGGGAGCCUGAGAAACGGCUACCACAUCUAAGGAAGGCAGCAGGCGCGCAAAUUACCCAAUCCUAAUACAGGGAGGUAGUGACAAGAAAUAACAAUACAGNGCCUUACGGUUUUGUAAUUGGAAUGAGUUAAGUAUAAACCCCUUAACAAGUAUCAAUUGGAGGGCAAGUCUGGUGCCAGCAGCCGCGGUAAUUCCAGCUCCAAUAGCGUAUAUUAAAGUUGUUGCAGUUAAAAAGCUCGUAGUUAAUUUUCUGUUAAUUUUUAUAUACAAUGCUACGGUAUUUAUAUAAUAUUAACAUAAUUCAUAUUACUUUUUAGUAUAUGAAACUUUACUUUGAGAAAAUUAGA
rnacentral:rRNA from 1 species